CUCUUACUUAUAUAUUUGUAAGUAAUACCUGCUCAAUGAAUAUUUAAAUAGCCGCGGAAUUUUAACUGUGCUAAGGUAGCAUAAUCAUUAGUCCCUUAAUUAGGGACUUGUAUGAAAGGUAAAACAUUUUAAUCUCUUUCUUUGUCCUUAAAUUUUAAGUUAAAUUAAGAAUAAAAAUGUUCUUAUUUUUAAAAUAGACGAUAAGACCCUUUUGAACUUUACUGAUGUUUAGCUGGGGCAGCUAAAUAAUAAUAAUCUUACUUUAUAUAUUUUAUUAGAUGACCCAAAACAUUUGAUUAAUAGAUCAAGUUACCAUAGGGAUAACAGCGUAAUUUCUUUUUAAAGCUCUUAUUAAAAAAGAAGAUUGCGACCUCGAUGUUGAAUUAAUGUCACUUUAUAGUGCAAUAACCUUAAAA
rnacentral:rRNA from 1 species